GCUCUGACCGAAAGGCGUGAUGAGC
rnacentral:misc_RNA from 1 species